CUCAAGACCGGCGAGGUCUACCGGGGCUCCAUGAUUGAGUGCGAGGACAACUGGAACUGCCAGAUCGAGAACAUCACAUUCACAGCAAAGUGCUAGGGUGGAUGAAGAUGAAGACGCAUUUCAAACUGUGAUAGAGUUCCAUGACCCGCUAGACAGAACUCACUAGUUAACUAAUGCUCUAUUGGUAGAUGGCUGCUAGUGCUAGGGUGGAUGAAGAUGCGUUUCAAACUGUGCAAGGAAUACUCGUGUUGUCAGUAUGGUAACUUUGAUGAGGUACUCAACAUAUUGAUGCACAUGGACAUGAUGACUCUCUAGCGUUUAUGGACCAACCAACCUGUAAUCAUGGACCUUAUUGUCUUGUAGAUCAUUUGGUGUUUCGAGUGUUUUGGAGCUUGCACUUUGUGCAUGUAGAUACAAACUUGUGUGUUCUGGACCAUUUGAAGUCUUUCAUAGUAACCAAUAGUCCUUAUCUUUUUGUGACUUGUGUGUUCUAGAUGAUUGUUAAGAUGGUCAAAACUAUGCUUCCUCUAGGUUA